rnacentral:rRNA from 1 species
AUAUAAGUUAUCGUUUAUUUGAUAGUACCUUACUACUUGGAUAACCGUGGUAAUUCUAGAGCUAAUACAUGCUUCAAAUCCCGACUUCGGAAGGGAUGUAUUUAUUAGAUUAAAAACCAAUGCCCUCUGGGCUCCUUGGUGAUUCAUAAUAACUUUUCGAAUCGCACGGCCUUGCGCCGGCGAUGGUUCAUUCAAAUUUCUUCCCUAUCAACUUUCGAUGUUUGGGUAUUGGCCAAACAUGGUUACAACGGGUAACGGAGGGUUAGGGCUCGACCCCGGAGAAGGAGCCUGAGAAACGGCUACUACAUCCAAGGAAGGCAGCAGGCGCGCAAAUUACCCAAUCCCGAUUCGGGGAGGUAGUGACAAUAAAUACUGAUACAGGGCUCUUUUGGGUCUUGUAAUUGGAAUGAGUACAAUUUAAAUCCCUUAACGAGGAACAAUUGGAGGGCAAGUCUGGUGCCAGCAGCCGCGGUAAUUCCAGCUCCAAUAGCGUAUAUUAAAGUUGUUGUGGUUAAAAAGCUCGUAGUUGAACCUUGGGCCUGGCUGGCCGGUCCGCCUCACCGCGAGUACUGGUCCGGCCGGGCCUUUCCCUCUGUGGAACCCCAUGCCCUUCACUGGGUGUGGCGGGGAAACAGGACUUUUACUUUGAAAAAAUUAGAGUGCUCCAGGCAGGCCUAUGCUCGAAUACAUUAGCAUGGAAUAAUAAAAUAGGACGCGUGGUUCUAUUUUGUUGGUUUCUAGGACCGCCGUAAUGAUUAAUAGGGACAGUCGGGGGCAUCAGUAUUCAAUUGUCAGAGGUGAAAUUCUUGGAUUUAUUGAAGACUAACUACUGCGAAAGCAUUUGCCAAGGAUGUUUUCAUUAAUCAGGAACGAAAGUUAGGGGAUCGAAGACGAUCAGAUACCGUCGUAGUCUUAACCAUAAACUAUGCCGACUAGGGAUCGGACGAUGUUAUUUUUUGACGCGUUCGGCACCUUA